AGAGUUUGAUCCUGGCUCAGGAUGAACGCUAGCGACAGGCUUAACACAUGCAAGUCGAGGGGCAGCGGGGGCGUAGCAAUAUGCCUGCCGGCGACCGGCGCACGGGUGAGUAACACGUAUGUAACCUGCCCUAUGCAGGGGGAUAACCCGGAGAAAUCCGGCCUAAUACCGCGUAACACCUUAGGGGAGCAUUCUCUUGAGGUUAAAGGAGAGAUCCGGCAUAGGAUGGACAUGCGUCGCAUUAGGUAGACGGCGGGGUAACGGCCCACCGUGCCGAAGAUGCGUAGGGGUUCUGAGAGGAAGGCCCCCCACACUGGUACUGAGACACGGACCAGACUCCUACGGGAGGCAGCAGUGAGGAAUAUUGGUCAAUGGCCGAGAGGCUGAACCAGCCAAGUCGCGUGAGGGAAGAAUGUCCUAAGGAUUGUAAACCUCUUUUGUCGGGGAGCAAAAAGGCUCUGCGGAGUCGUAUUGAGAGUACCCGAAGAAAAAGCAUCGGCUAACUCCGUGCCAGCAGCCGCGGUAAUACGGAGGAUGCGAGCGUUAUCCGGAUUUAUUGGGUUUAAAGGGUGCGCAGGCGGCGUGUCAAGCAAGCGGUAAAAUAGCGGGGCUCAACCCCGUCGAGCCGUUUGAACUGGCGCGCUUGAGUUCAGGCGAGGUAGGCGGAAUUCGUGGUGUAGCGGUGAAAUGCAUAGAUAUCACGAAGAACUCCGAUUGCGAAGGCAGCUUACCAGUCUGCGACUGACGCUCAGGCACGAAAGUGUGGGUAUCGAACAGGAUUAGAUACCCUGGUAGUCCACACAGUAAACGAUGAGCGCUAGGUGUCCGGGUCGCAUGAGACUUGGGUGCCCGAGCGAAAGCGUUAAGCGCUCCACCUGGGGAGUACGCCGGCAACGGUGAAACUCAAAGGAAUUGACGGGGGCCCGCACAAGCGGAGGAACAUGUGGUUUAAUUCGAUGAUACGCGAGGAACCUUACCCGGGCUCAAACGACUCAGGAAUAUAUUGGAAACGAUGUAGCCAGCAAUGGUCUGAGUCGAGGUGCUGCAUGGUUGUCGUCAGCUCGUGCCGUGAGGUGUCGGCUUAAGUGCCAUAACGAGCGCAACCCCUACCGCCAGUUGCCAACGGGUAAAGCCGGGAACUCUGGCGGGACUGCCGGCGCAAGCUGCGAGGAAGGCGGGGAUGACGUCAAAUCAGCACGGCCCUUACGUCCGGGGCGACACACGUGUUACAAUGGCAGGUACAGCGGGAAGCCACCUGGUGACAGGGAGCGGAACCCGAAAGCCUGUCUCAGUUCGGAUUGGAGUCUGCAACUCGACUCCAUGAAGCUGGAUUCGCUAGUAAUCGCGCAUCAGCCAUGGCGCGGUGAAUACGUUCCCGGGCCUUGUACUCACCGCCCGUCAAG
rnacentral:rRNA from 1 species